GACGAACGCUGGCGGCGUGCUUAACACAUGCAAGUCGAACGGUAAGGCCCUUCGGGGUACACGAGUGGCGAACGGGUGAGUAACACGUGGGUGAUCUGCCCUGCACUUCGGGAUAAGCCUGGGAAACUGGGUCUAAUACCGGAUAGGACCACUGCCUGCAUGGGUGGUGGUGGAAAGCUUUUGCGGUGUGGGAUGGGCCCGCGGCCUAUCAGCUUGUUGGUGGGGUGAUGGCCUACCAAGGCGACAACGGGUAGCCGGCCUGAGAGGGUGACCGGCCACACUGGGACUGAGAUACGGCCCAGACUCCUACGGGAGGCAGCAGUGGGGAAUAUUGCACAAUGGGCGAAAGCCUGAUGCAGCGACGCCGCGUGAGGGAUGACGGCCUUCGGGUUGUAAACCUCUUUCAGCACCGACGAAGCGCAAGUGACGGUAGGUGCAGAAGAAGGACCGGCCAACUACGUGCCAGCAGCCGCCGUAA
rnacentral:rRNA from 1 species